CAAAGUGUCAUUUAAAAUUCAAGUUUGAGUUUCAAACAAAAAAUGGUAUGAUAAGUGCAGUUCCCUUGGGUUGGUUUCUUUUGUAAACUCAUCACAAUAUGCCCCUGACUAAUAUCAAUUCAGCCUAUCUUGCUUCAUCUUGUUUUAUUAAUAGGCAUAUAGCUUGCCGCAGGAGUUCAGAGAAGUCACAUAGGGGAAAAAGUAAAACGAACGUGAAGUAUAUCUGUUCCACUUAUUCAAAGGCAUAAAAAAAAUCAUUAUACAUCUUUGGAUUUGGACAUUGAGUCUGAUUUAUUCAUGUAUUUCAGGCACGUUUUUUUUAUUUUUUUUAUUUUCAGAGAACCAGUUCUUAAGAAAGGGAAAUGAGUUGCAAACUCACCACUUGCAUUAACGACCAUAUGAAAUCUCGUACUCCUAAACGUUCAAUGCGUUCCCUGAAUGUCGUUUCGUCCGUUUUCUGGAGUGCUUGCUGGAGCCUCUCUUAGCUGAUUAUAAACGAGAAGCUAACAUGCACGUUUUUGGAGAUGUGGAGAGGAAACUGGAGAGCAUGCUAUUUUAUAAUUCAUUUUAUACGUGGCUACGGUGCCAAAAUAACUGCGUGAAUUGCUAUUCUACUUUGUGCUGUCAUUAUUAUAAGACAGUUGCUAUCCAUUGUACAGAUUAAUUCACUUUUUUAGGUACUUUUCAUGAGAAUAAAUGUAAAUAUGGCAGCGACAAAAAACUGACAUCAUCAUGACUCUACUAGAAUACGUCCCCCAAAAAUGCAUACUGGCUUGUAUAUUUUUUUUUAGUUGUUUUAAGAGCUGGCCAACUAGGUCAGCUCUGGAAGGAAGUCGACAAAAGUGCAUCGUUCCAACUGAGCGCCUUCCCAAUGGCCAUUUUGUUGACACAAGGGAACUAAGUGAACUCUUGGCCAAGCACCCUACGCACGUCACUUUUUCAGUCAACGAGUGGUCUCCAUUGAGACCAUUGCCAUUUCGAAAGCCACUAUUGAAGAUAUUUGUGGCGCAGGAAUUAGAAAGGGACCACCUCAAAAAAUAUUUCUCUCUUCAAAUACCACCAUGACCAACAUUCAAAUAACGUACUGCAAUUAUUCCUAAAAUGUACUGAUUAUUGUAAGCCGCUGUCACAUUAUGCAUUGAAUGACUUGUGCUUAAGUAUAGGAAAAUUACAACAAAAAACUACUUAAAUGGUGGUUCAAUUAAAAUGCAUCACGUCUAAAAGUUACAUCAAAAUUUACCAAAAUGUUUAAAAAGCAUAGAAAAAAAAUCCAAGUGAAACACGACCGAACUGUACUUAUGUGUAAUUCUUUUGCAGACCACAAGAGGGAACCCAUGUACCAGUAGUGGCCUGCAGACCACAAUUUGAGACUCGCUGGAUUAGUUUACCAUCUCGGCUGAGAUGCACUUAAAGACAACCAGCAGCUGGUUACUGUCCUCAAGUCAACCACCGCAUGACCAUGGAUGAUUCAAUCAGCUUGAUUGUCUGAACUCAUCUUAGGACACGAGUCGAUAGCAGAUAAA